CAGAAGUUUUUAAAUGCUCAUUUUCAAUGUCUCAUUGUGGACCCAUAACAGAUUAUGCACUGGCAUUCUGGACUGCACUUGGACAGCACUGACUUGGGCACUGAGAGAAGGACUCCAGCUAUGCAGAUCCUCUCAGGAGACUUUCAGAGGCACGAGGCUCUCACACCCCCAUUCCCUACUGUGGGUACUUCUGGCUACCUGGUCAGUCAGCUCCAAAAGCCCAGGCCAGACACAUUGGUCUAACUUAUUGCUGACCCUUCCCCUCCCACUGCAGUCUUCAGGGCCUUCUUGAUUUUUUUUUAAUCAGUGUGAUUUCUUCUAGUAUUUAAUUUUUUCCAUAUUUCAUUGGUGCAUUCAGCUGUACACAAUAGUGGGAUUCAUUGCUACAUAUUUGUAUAGGCACUCAUGUACAUGGCUUUUCAAGUGUCCUCCGGCCAGGUGUGGUGGUGCAUGCCUGUAAUUCCUGCUACUGGGAAGACUCAAACAGGAGGAUAGCAAGUUCCAGGCCAGCAACUUAGGGUAGACCCUGUCUCAACAUAAAAUGUCAAGAACUGGGGAUAUAGCUCAGUGGUAAAGCACCCCUGGGUUCAAUCCCCAGUACCAAAAAAUUUAAAAAAAAAAGUGUCCCUGGUGUGGCCAGAAAGGUGGUGCCUGAUAACCACAGGGAACCCUGAGGCAGGGAAUGGGGUAAGUCGAACUGAGAGGGAAGCACGGAGUAGAGAUGCACCUUCUUUUGUUUCUAAUUCCACAUAAAGUUGGCCAAACAUCACUUCCUUCUGGAAGUCAUCCUGGGCCUGCACUUGCCAAGAAGUCCUUGUCUGUGCCUCCCAUUGUGGCACAGGCCUCCCUAUAUUUGUUUGGAUACUUUUUUUAAAAAAAUAUUUAUUUUUUAGCUGUUGUUGGACACAAUACCUUUAUUUAUUUUUUUGUGGUGCUGAGGAUCGAACCCAGGGCCUCAAACGUGCUAGGCAAGCGCUGUACCGCUGAGCCACAACCCCAGCCCCUAUUUGUUCAGAUAGUUG
rnacentral:lncRNA from 1 species